rnacentral:rRNA from 1 species
CCCUUAGAUGUUCUGGGCCGCACGCGCGCUACACUGACUGCUCCAACAAGUUACCUGGGCUGACAAGCAUCCGGGAAAUCUUGCAAAGGCAGUCGUGAUGGGGAUAGAUUCUUGUAAUUUUUGAUCUUCAACGAGGAAUUCCUAGUAAACGCAAGUCAUCAGCUUGCAUUGAUUACGUCCCUGCCCUUUGUACACACCGCCCGUCGCAUCUACCGAUUGAAUGGAGAGGCUAAAUCUUCGGACCGUGACGCUUGGGAGUCAAAUCUCGGGCUGUCGUGGGAAGUGGAUUAAACCUUUCUAUUUAGAGGAAGGUAAAGUCGUAACA